CAUGAAGGAAAGGAAGAUUUUGUGUCUAUUCCUUUUAGUUUUCUUCAUUUUUUCUUCUAUAAAUCGUACAAAUGCUUUGAGAUGCUACGCCUGCAACUACUUACAGGCCCAGCAUAAUGACACAUCUUGCAUUAAUAAUUCUAAAAAUAAUAAUGGAAGGAAUGUUAUUUUUUGUGCGGAGAAAUUCUGCACAAUUACGAGGCAAAAAUCAAUCAAAUAUCCCUAUGGGCAGAUUUAUAGCUUCUCAAGAUCCUGCGAGGAAUCACCUUUGUUUCUCAACACUGCCAUCAUCUAUGGCUUCUAUAAAUAUUAUUUUCAAGCCUGUACGACAGAUUUGUGCAACAACGAAAGUGGCAUUCAGUUUGAAAUAACCGAUCGCUGGCCUUGGUGGGCUGAUGCUGCUAAUCCUCAAGGAAAUAUUAUUGUCCCAGGAAUUGAGGGAAGAAGUUCCCACAGUGUCCCUGGAAAGAUUCUUUUAGUUGUUCUUUUCUUACUUAUUUUGGUGAAUUUCAAUUAAAUGAUUGGUUGACA